GUUCAAACUGUUUUUCUCUUUCACGUUCAAUUUUUCUCUUUGUUUUUCUCUUUCACGUUCAAUUUUUCUCUUUCUUUUUUUGGUUCUCUUUUUUUUAUUCCUUUGUCUUCUGACUUCUCUUCCUUCUUUGCUUUUCUUUUUGUUUUUUCAACGUUUCUUUUUUUUGUUUUCUUUUCUCUCCUGUUCUCUUUUCUUCUUUUUUCCGUUUCUUUCUU
rnacentral:lncRNA from 1 species